rnacentral:rRNA from 1 species
CAGUUAUGGGUUAACCAUAGCAGAAAGCUCAGUAACACGUAGUCAACCUGCCCUUACGUCCGUUAUAAUCCUGGGAAACUGGGGCUAACGGCGGAUAGGUAAUAAUACCUGGAAUGGUUUAUUAUCCAAGUAAGGAUGGGACUGCGGCAGAUUAGUUUGUUGCCAGGGUAAUGUCCUGACAAGGCGAUAAUCUGUACGAGCCUUGAGAGAGGAAGCUCGGAGAUGGAUUCUGAGACAAGAAUCCAGGUCCUACGGGACGCAGCAGGCGCGAAACUUUCCCAAUGCACGCAAGUGUGAGGAAGAGAUCCGAAGCGCUUUCUCUUAGGAGAGAGCUUUUGUCGAGUCUAAACAGCUUGGCGAAUAAGGAGUGGGUAAGACGGGUGCCAGCCGCCGCGGUAAUACCCGCGCUCCAAGUGAUGACCACGAUUACUGGGCUUAAAGCGUUCGUAGCCGGUUUUGUUAGUUCCUGGUGAAAUCGAUCGGUAAACCGAUUGGCUUGCUGGGAAUACUGCAAGACUUGGGACCGGGAGAGGUCAGAGGUACUCCAGGGGUAAGGGUAAAAUCUUAUAAUCCUUGGGGGACCACCUGUGGCGAAGGCGUCUGACUAGAACGGAUCCGACGGUGAGGGACGAAAGCUAGGGUAGCGAACCGGAUUAGAUACCCGGGUAGUCCUAGCUGUAAACGAUGCCCACUAGACAUUGGUAAUCCUACGCGGGUUUCCAGUGUCGUAGGGAAACCGUUAAGUGGGCCGCCUGGGGAGUACGGUCGCAAGGCUGAAACUUAAAGGAAUUGGCGGGA